CGUCAACAAACUAGCCAGUGCAAAAUAUCAAAGAGCAAAAAUCCAACAAGAUGUUUAGCUGGAGCAUUCAGCCACUUUACUUUCUAUUGCUUCCUUUUUCCCAUUAAGGGCCUGAUCCUGCAAACACACAUCAUUCAUAUUUUCCAUCAUAUGGCAGGGCAGAAGCUUCCUUAUUCGCUUUGUUUCUCUCCCUGAGAAGCAUCAUUAUCACCCCGAGAGAGAGAUGUGCACUCAGCCAUGGCCACAAGCAAGGCUAUAGAGAUAUCCAGGAUUAUGUUCCACCUCACCACAACCUCAGUCUUGUCUGAGCCUGCAGUGGAUCAGUUCCCUCAAACCACCAGUCCCUUAUCCACUGAAAACUCACAGAAUUACCGGGCCUCAAAGAAUACAGAUUCAA